AGCGAACGUUAGCGGCGGGCCUAACACAUGCAAGUCGAGCGAGAAAGGGGCUUCGGCCCCGAGUAAAGCGGCGGACGGGUGAGAAAUACGUAGGUAACCUGCCUUUCAGUGGGGGACAACGGUCCGAAAGGACCGCUAAUACCGCAUACGUCAUCUGGAACUCCGGUUCUGGAUGGGAAAGCCGGGGCAACCUGGCGCUGGAAGAGGGGCCUACGUCGCAUCAGCUAGCUGGUGGGGUAACGGCCUACCAAGGCUAAGACGCGUAGCUGGUCUGAGAGGAUGAUCAGCCACACUGGGACUGAGACACGGCCCAGACUCCUACGGGAGGCAGCAGUGGGGAAUAUUGGACAAUGGGCGCAAGCCUGAUCCAGCCACGCCGCGUGAGUGAUGAAGGCCUUCGGGUCGUAAAGCUCUGUGGGGAGGGACGAACCGCCGCUGGCUAAUAUCCAGCGGCAUGACGGUACCUCCUUAGCAAGCACCGGCUAACUUCGUGCCAGCCGCCGCGGUAACAC
rnacentral:rRNA from 1 species